UGUUCCCACUCGGUGAUCAGGACUGAACACAGAAGGCUUACCAUGGAGUUUAGAAUGAGCUGGAUUUUCCUUCUUGCUAUUUUUAAAGGUGUCCAGGCUGAGGUGCAGCUGAUGGAGUCCGGGGGAAACUUGGUGCAGCCUGGGAAAUCCCUGAAACUCUCCUGUGUGGCCUCAGGAUUCACCUUCAGUGAUUACUACAUGCACUGGGUCCGGCAGGCUCCAGGGAAGGGGCUGGAGUGGAUCUCAUACAUCAGUGGUGGUAGUGGUGAUAUACAGUACGCAGACUCCGUGAAGGGCCGAUUCACCAUCUCCAGAGACAACGCGAAGAACACGCUGUAUCUGCAAAUGAACAGCCUGAAAGCCGAGGACACAGCCGUGUAUUACUGUGCAAGAGACACAGUGAGGGGACAACCAUGUGCUCCCAGACACAUAUCUCCUUGCAGGGCGCGCAUGAACAGCAGGGGGCGCUGGGGACCCACUGAGCAAGGGGCAGGGCCCCAGAAGCAGGUGCAGAGAAAGAAGCUGGGGAGAGAGGGCUUCCUGUUGCCCUCUGGGGUUUCCUCUCUGUAUUAA